CAACAUUCAAAAAGCUCUCACCGUCUUCAAAUCUUCUAUUGACUUGAAGUCCCUGCAACAAAUUGCAAAUGUUAAUAGGACUACCAGUAUCUAAUAUCUAGGUCAUUGUAUCACAAAUAAAGAAGUUGCAAGGUGUUAUCAUAUAAUUACCUUAUCCAACAACCAAUUACUUCUUUUUUUUUGACUUGUUCGAAUCAAGAGAAGCUAUAUAUUGAGGACAGUUCCUCUUCUAAUGAUCCUACUUCCUAUAAUAGAAGC
rnacentral:lncRNA from 1 species